GACAGAGGAUGCAAGCGUUAUCCGGAAUGAUUGGGCGUAAAGCGUCUGUAGGUGGCUUUUUAAGUCCGCCGUCAAAUCCCAGGGCUCAACCCCUGGACAGGCGGUGGAAACUACCAAGCUGGAGUACGGUAGGGGCAGAGGGAAUUUCCGGUGGAGCGGUGAAAGUGCGUAGAGAUCGGAAAGAACACCAACGGCGGAAAGCACUCUGCUGGGCCGAACACUGACACUGGAGAGACGAAAGCUAGGGGAGCGAAUGGG
rnacentral:rRNA from 1 species